rnacentral:antisense_RNA from 1 species
AUCUUAAGUUGUAUAUAUGUGCAGAGCGCGGCGCGGGUGGUCGCCUCCGCUGCUGCCGCCACCCGCCUGGCCUGCCUUUGACCCCAUGGGUCACAGACAAGGCAGGGUGAUCGCGGCAAGACCCUGAGUGAGACUAGAGGCGUUACCCAGAGGGUGCGAGGUCGAGCACCCUCCCUGUCCCAUCGCAAACCCAAAGAUCCCCGUUCCUGGAGAUUCUGAUUGAGGUCCCAGCCCUACCUGUCCUGAUGCCUGACCAGCAGGAUGCAAGCCCAGGAGGCCAUCCAGGAUACCAGGACUGGGAGAGAAUGCCCAGUGGUGAUUCCUGCAUAGUCCUAGGAGGUGUCUUGGGCCCAGGCUCUGGAGUUGGAGGCUCAGUUUCAGCCUUGCACAGGGUCUCUGUUGCAGGUGGCCACUUCUGUACCACAAGGGAGAACGUGUGUCUGGCAAAGCAUGGUGCUACCCAGGGUGAGGCCGAGCUGGAUGAUGCUCCAGUCCUGAACCCCACUCAUGGACACUCACUCACCCAUCUCCGGGGUCCGCCCGGCUCCCGGCGCAGCCC